AUAAUGGUGCUGCGAUAGACAAAUCAAAAAUUACUUCGAAGUUUAGUGACUUCGGGCGCGAAUAUAAUCAUGAGGUUUCGUUUCUGCUUGUAUCAUGUGAUCAAUGAUUAAAACAAUCGAUGACAGUGGAUUUGGCGGCUUGUGUCAGAUUGUGUGAUUGCUUUUCUAACCUCUAAAAGAGUCACGCUUCUGCGGACGUUAUCCAGGAAUAUACUGUUGUAAACCUUUGUCUGAACUUGAGCAUCGAAAUAUGUCAAACGUACAGACGGUAAACAGUAUAAUUAGCAACAGAAAUCGCGAUUGUUUCGAAUGCAGACUGCUAAGUGGCAGCGGUCUCGUCGCUGCUGGUUUAUACGUCUGUCAUCAUUCCAAACAGUAUCAAAAUCAAGUUAAAAAAGCAGCGAUGUAUUCGAUUGCAUCUGCAUUGGUACUUCUUGGCACAGCUAGGAUUUUCGACUUACCACCUUUUCAAAAUAAGUUUAAGCGCAGUUGAGAAACAAACUGCUUAAGCGAGCACAAAUUCACAACAUGUAGAAAUUUCAUAAAUAAUGCGAAAUCAAGGUGACUAUUGA